rnacentral:rRNA from 1 species
CCUACGGGUGGCAGCAGUGGGGAAUAUUGGACAAUGGGCGAAAGCCUGAUCCAGCCAUGCCGCGUGUGUGAAGAAGGUCUUCGGGUUGUAAAGCACUUUCAGUGGGGAAGAAAGCCUUGGGGCUAAUACCCUCGAGGAAGGACAUCACCCACAGAAGAAGCCCCGCCUAACUCCGUGCCAGCAGCCGCGGUAAUACGGAGGGUGCGAGCGUUAAUCGGAAUUACUGGGCGUAAAGCGCGCGUAGGCGGUCUGAUAAGCCGGUUGUGAAAGCCCCGGGCUCAACCUGGGAACGGCAUCCGGAACUGUCAGGCUAGAGUGCAGGAGAGGAAGGUAGAAUUCCCGGUGUAGCGGUGAAAUGCGUAGAGAUCGGGAGGAAUACCAGUGGCGAAGGCGGCCUACUGGACUGACACUGACGCUGAGGUGCGAAAGCGUGGGUAGCAAACAGGAUUAGAUACCCGAGUAGUC